AUUGAACGCUGGCGGCAGGCCUAACACAUGCAAGUCGAGCGGAUGAAGGGAGCUUGCUCCUGUAUUCAGCGGCGGACGGGUGAGUAAUGCCUAGGAAUCUGCCUGGUAGUGGGGGAUAACGUCCGGAAACGGGCGCUAAUACCGCAUACGUCCUGAGGGAGAAAGUGGGGGAUCUUCGGACCUCACGCUAUCAGAUGAGCCUUGGUCGGAUUAGCUAGUUGGUGGGGUAAAGGCCUACCAAGGCGACGAUCCGUAACUGGUCUGAGAGGAUGAUCAGUCACACUGGAACUGAGACACGGUCCAGACUCCUACGGGAGGCAGCAGUGGGGAAUAUUGGACAAUGGGCGAAAGCCUGAUCCAGCAAUGCCGCGUGUGUGAAGAAGGUCUUCGGAUUGUAAAGCACUUUAAGUUGGGAGGAAGGGCAGUAAGUUAAUACCUUGCUGUUUUGACGUUACCAACAGAAUAAGCACCGGCUAACUUCGUG
rnacentral:rRNA from 1 species